rnacentral:misc_RNA from 1 species
AGCUCGGUCUUUUUCACCCAACACCAACUUAUAUGGCCAAUCAGAAUGAGAAGUGGACAAGGAAGUUGCUCUAGUUUUGAAUGGAAUGUCCAACGCCAGGGCUGUGGACUGGGGCUGUGGCUCUGAAGUCAUCAUCAUCUGCGUCAUUAUCACCACGCACGUUCUGCUUAUCGACAAAAUUUUUCUGCUCCUUUACGAGCUUAUUAGAGG